UCUGUCCCUGAAAGGCCAGAACAAACUGCCUCCUAGGGUAACACUAAGUGCUACUGCCAUUUGAGACAGACGUGUGCACAGACAGCCCUAGCUCACAGGAUUGUAGGUCCCCAGCGGAUGAAUGAACUGGCUGUUUGCUGGGUGCCGGGAAGAUGCUUUGGAGCCACCCAUAGAUGGACCUGCAUGGGGACUUGCUUUUCCAGGAGAGAUGAUUGAUUCACCAUGCUGACCUGACCACUCUCCCACGUGGUCUUCCUAGUGAUCAGAUGGGGUAUCUGAAGGUUCAGAAACAGAUCAAAGAAAACGCUGUGCACAUGGAGUGAAUGUGCGGUGGCUCAGACCUGUAAUCCCAGCACUUUGGGAGGCCAAGGCAAGAGGAUUACUUGAGCUCAGGAGUUUGAGACCAGCCUGGGGGAGGAAAAAAGACUCAGAGAGGUUAAGUAUCCGACCCAAGGCACACAGCUGUUUCUCAGGGGAGCCCGGAUUCAAACCCAGGGACUCGGAUCCUAGAGCCUGUGCUUUCACCCGCUGCGCUGCACCAUAUGUGUACCAGGAUGGUAGAAUCAGAGGUCUGGAUUCCAGCAUUUCCCUGCCAGAGGCUAUGGUGGGUGUGCCGAGCACCACCCUGAGGGGGAAGCAGUAUCUCAGCAACUACACCCCCGAGGAAGAGGCAGUCCCCAAUCAGCGGGAGCAAUGGGACCUGCUGAUGACAAAAUAAGCCACAGAAUGAAUGGCUCUGCUCCACUGGCCUUCUCUCCUCCCUGCCCCCUUUUCCCCAGCUGACCAGAUGCAGGGCAGUGGCAGGGAGGGGCUGAUACCAAACCCGGUCUGGGAGACUGCCCGGAGGGAACACAGGUUCCCAAGCUCCUUUUGGAGAGGCUGGAUGUGAGUUCACCUCGAACCUUUCAGCUGGUAAUGGCCACCUCUUGGAGAAUGUAACUGGUUACCAGAAAACCCCAGAGGUUGUCUCCCAGUACCUAGCCUAAAGUGGGUGUGGCCACAGAACCUACCAAAAUUUAAAUAAAAGCAAGAACUAGGCGUGUCCAGGGAUGGCGUUGUGCUGUUUAUCCGCUCUCUGCUCUUCCCACUCCUCCUUCCUUUGGGAUUUUGUCCAAGACUCUGUAAAUUAAUUUUUCUGUGCCUGUUUCCUCAUAAAAUAAACAAGCUAACCUCA
rnacentral:lncRNA from 10 species